rnacentral:rRNA from 1 species
CAAUGGACGAAGUCUGACGCAGCGACGCCGCGUGGAGGAUGAAAGGUUUUCGGAUCGUAAACUCCUGUCAAGAGGGAAGAAACCUAUCAUGAAUAAUACUUAUGGUAAUUGACGGUACCUCUAGAGGAAGCACCGGCUAAUUCAGUGCCAGCAGCCGCGGUAAUACUGAAGGUGCAAGCGUUAAUCGGAAUCACUGGGCGUAAAGCGCUCGUAGGUGGCUUUGUAAGUCAGGUGUGAAAGCCCACGGCUCAACCGUGGAAUUGCACUUGAUACUGCAUCGCUAGAGUAUAGGAGAGGGAAGUGGAAUUUCUGGUGUAGGAGUGAAAUCCGUAGAGAUCAGAAGGAACACCCGUGGCGAAGGCGACUUCCUGGACUAUUACUGACACUGAGGAGCGAAAGCGUGGGGAGCAAACAGGAUUAGAUACCCUGGUAG